AAUACAUCUGGCUCAGUCAUUGGAACCCCAAUUUAUUUGGUCAUCUCAAGGCUAUCACUCCCUCCUUGGGAUCUUACCUGUUCUCGACAGUGCUCUUCAGGGGAUCACUAGGACAUGCAAGCCGUUUCUAACUUGUAUUUAUUCAGCCGCACUUUAAAUACAAGUUAGAACAAGACUUCAGACUCUCACCUGUGGAGAGGAUGCUCUGCCCAGGACUUCCCAGUCAGGACCCUGAAAAGCUGUUUGGGACUUUCCAGUACAUAGGUUCAGUGUUGGGGUUUUCCUAGUCUGGCAAUACAGUUGCCUGUGUCUGUUACUUUUGCUUUCUCUUGCUUUCAUAGUAUUACUCAAAGAAACACUGUCUGGUGUGAAGAGAGUGUCGUCCUUAUCUAUUGGACCUGACCUGCCAAGUUGAGCAACUGCCCACAUACUGAAUGUCACAAACACAUAUAUGUGUUAUCUGAUCAGUAACUAGUGUAUCUUUCAACUGCAUGAUUUUUUAUUGCAUGCGGGAGGAAAUUGAGAAUGCUUUCUUGAGUGCAUACAGCACUAUUAAUAGUAUUCAUAACACUGCUAUGUAAUGUUUUCUCUCUAAUCAACUUGUAAGUAUUGUUCUUGUGCUGCUUUGUAAAACAAAUAGAAAAGAGUUGCAAACCAAAAAUUUUGUGAUAAUAGAUAGUUGCACAGACUGACUUGGGCAACUCUAUUUACCAAUGUUUGUUAUUUUGUAUGGGCUCAAGGUACUUUUCUUUAACCUUAAUGACAUUAGCAUUUAUUGAAGAGUUUUUAACUCACAAAACUUCUCUGUAUACAAACUUUCCGUCAUCAUUUUUAAAAUUUCUUAUUCUUUUUAGGUAUACAUGACAGUAGAGCAAAUUUUGACAUAUUACACAUACAUGGAGUAAAACAUUUUAGUUAGCAUUCCAUUCUUGAGGUGUACAUGGUGUGAACCUUCACUGGUGAUGUGUUUGUAUGUAAACAGAAAAGUUGUGUCUGAUUCAUUCUACUGUCAUUUCUAUUCCUAUUUCCCUUUUCUUCCCUUCGUUCCAACUUUGUCUAAUCUAGUGAAUUUCUA
rnacentral:lncRNA from 1 species